rnacentral:lncRNA from 1 species
CCUCAGUCUGAGCCCAACAGCCGCUGUUUGUCUCAGUCCUACCGUACAGUCAACAGUGACCUGGAUAUGCAGCCAGUUCAAGACGCAUCGCUUUCCUCUCCUGUCUGCUGACUGGAUCCCUGGAGAGGGACAAAGUAACUGUUCAAUCCCAGAUUAUGACUGAUGAAGCAAAGAAGGUAACAAGCCUGGAACCUCCCUGACAGCACCCUCCAUCCUCCACUUGUCAGUGUCAGUGUUUUGAGUGGAUAGCAACACCAAUAAACGCGCCUACUCUUGGCGGCUUCACCACCCACAGCUGUACUGGGAGAGAGCUGUUUUACUCAGGAAGUCAGUUGCUUGGAGUCUAUUUGUCUUUUGUAAUUACCAUUCAAUAAAGAAAAACCCUUGGUAAUUAUCCUUGGC